UACAGAGGAGCCAAGCGUUGUCCGGAUUGACUGGGCGUAAAGCGCACGCAGGCGGAUGCGCGCGUGGGGUGUGAAAUCUGGCCGCUUAACGGCCAGGCGCCAUCCCAUACGGCGGGUCUGGAGCCUUGCAGAGGUCGGUGGAAUUGCCGGUGUAGUGGUGAAAUGCGUAGAUAUUCGCAAGAACACCAGUGGCGAAGGCGGCUCACUGGCCCGAUACUGACGCUGAGGCACGAAAGCGUGGGGAGCAAACAGG
rnacentral:rRNA from 1 species